rnacentral:rRNA from 1 species
AUUGAACGCUGGCGGCAGGCCUAACACAUGCAAGUCGAGCGAGCGGCGGACGGGUGAGUAAUGUAUGGGGACUGCCCGAUAGAGGGGGAUAACUACUGGAAACGGUAGCUAAUACCGCAUACUAUCGGAUAACCCAUAGGGGAUUAGCUAGUAGGUGAGGUAAUGGCUCACCUAGGCGAAGAUCCCUAGCUGGUCUGCGAGGAUGAUCAGCCACACUGGGACUGAGACACGGCCCAGACUGCGACGGAGGGAGCGGUGGGGAAUAUUGCGCAAUGGGCGCAAGCCGGAGGCAGCCAUGCCGCGUGUAUGAAGAGGGCCCUAGGGUUGUAAAGGACUGUCGGUCGGGAGGCGGUCCCGAGAGAGGAAGCACCGGCUAACGCCGUGCCAGCCGCCGCGGUAAGUC